CAGGACGAACGCUGGCGGCGUGCUUAACACAUGCAAGUCGAGCGAUGAAGCUUCUCGGAAGUGGAUUAGCGGCGGACGGGUGAGUAACACGUGGGUAACCUGCCUCAUAGAGGGGAAUAGCCUUCCGAAAGGAAGACUUAAUACCGCAUAAGAUUGUAAUAUCGCAUGAUAUAGCAAUUAAAGGAGCAAUCCGCUAUGAGAUGGACCCGCGUCGCAUUAGCUAGUUGGUGAGGUAACGGCUCACCCAAGGCGACGAUGCGUAGCCGACCUGAGAGGGUGAUCGGCCACAUUGGGACUGAGACACGGCCCAGACUCCUACGGGAGGCAGCAGUGGGGAAUAUUGCACAAUGGGGGAAACCCUGAUGCAGCCAACGCCGCGUGAGUGAUGACGGUCUUCGGAUUGUAAAGCUCUGUCUUCAGGGACGAUAAUGACGGUACCUGAGGAGGAAGCCACGGCUAACUACGUGCCAGCCGCAGC
rnacentral:rRNA from 1 species